GGAUUGAAUCAAAAUCCGAUCUUCUCAGAGGUGAGCGAAUCAAUAGUGAGAAAGCCAUGGUGAGUAGCCAUAGUGAAUUAUCGAAAAAAAGCCAAAUCUCACGCCUUUCAAUGUGCGUUUUUGUUUCGUGUGGCCAUGGCUGCAUAUACGUCAUACCUGUGGUUCCUGCGGUGUGUGUUGUGUGGUAUUGUGUGUCGGUGUGAAUUUUGUGCUGCGUGUGGAAGUUACUGGUGGAAAGUGGGUGGAAGGGACAAUGUGUAAACUUUUAUUGUGUUGAAUUUAACGGCGGUGUGGCUGGUGUCGAUCCAUGUGCUGGUGUUCAUCAUCCCGGGUGUGCUGUACAUAGGCUAUUCCUCGCGCGCUAGGACGAUCCAGUUACAAAGCAGCAAAAUGCGGCGCUCAAUGAACGACGGUAGUGCGGUAAAAUCAUGCAUAGCCUGUUACGCGGUAAGGUGCUUUUUGAAGCGUUUGUUUUAGAUUUCUGCUCUGAUUUUAUAGUUAGUAACAAAGAUCAACCUAAAUCUGGAUUAUAUUAAUGAUGGUAAAUUUUGGAUCGUCAAAUACGGUUAGUGUAGAGUAGGACAUGUCCGUCGCGGAGUCGUAAGUUCAAGUAUAGAGUGGAUCGAGCCCCGUCCGGCUGCAAUGACUGAUUUAUCCAGCUGCGUCGUAAUGGAUGAGUCUCAAACGUUGUAAUAGGCUGGCAUGAUCGAGCAGGUCGUUACACCAAAUCGA